GGAAGAUCCACUGGAGUUUCCUGAGCAAGUCCCACAACACAGGCUGAAAGAGAGCUGUUGAAGAGAAGGAGCAAAGCUGUGAGGCUGCCUACAUCCUGCCAGUGCCUCAGAUCCUCGACAUUAGCUCCCUGCCCUGCCCACACGCGUGCCCUCCCCGAGGUGACACCGCCGAGCGCAGGGGACUGCGAGGAGAGCUGCGUCGGUCGCAGCCCCGC